rnacentral:lncRNA from 1 species
UGAAAAAUACAUAUACUUAUUUUCAAAAAAAAAAUAUAUCAUUAAUUUAGCGUUUUGGUCAAUUAAUUCAUUUAUCAAAUAAUUUAGAAAAAACUAAUAAAUUUUUGGAGAAAUUACAUGUUUACCACUUUCAUGCAAUCACUUUUCUUUUUUACCACCAAGGCACAUUUUUAAAAAUAUCUUAUUCAUUAAGUGGAAAAAAACUCUGAUGCCCUUAUUCUUUAUAUAUAUAAUAAAUAACUAUUUAAAUAAAUAAAAAUCUUAAAAAAUAAAAAAAUAAUUUUUUCAAUUUUUUUUUGGAUUAUAUUAUUUUGAAAUUAAAACCCUAAACCCUAAAACUCAACUCUAAACCCUAAACCAUCGGACCUAAACCCUAUUUUCUUUUUUAAUAAGAACCCUAAACCCUUAAACAUCAACUCUAAACCUUAAACCCCGAAACAUCAACUCUAAACCCUAAACCCUAAACCUUCAACUCUAAACACUAAAACAUCAACUCUAAACUCUAAACCCUAAACUUCAACUCUAAACCCUAAACCAUCAACACUAAACCCUAAAAUAUCAACACUAAAACCUAAACCCUAAAAAGUAAACUCUAAACCAUAAACUCUAAAAAAUUAACCCUAAACCCUAAAACAUCAAUUCUAAACCCUAAACCCUAAACCUUCAACUCUAAACCAUAAACCCUAAACCCUAAAUCCUAAACCCUAAACCCUAAACCCU